GCUGGGAUCGCAGAUAGCGCUGCUCCACAAACAGCCCCGUGCAAAGUGCUGCAGGAGCCGCUGUGCUGAGCCACUGCUGGGUUGCGCCAGGGGAGGGCCAGGUUGGAUCCUCUCCAAAAAAGUGGCCACGUGCUGCCCUGUGGGAGCCCCCGAGCCAAGAGAGCACGCUAUAACCAACAGACACGCAGGGUGAGGCCGAAGGCUCCACAGAAACCCGUUCCUGUAAACGCACCGCGUUCCGGGCACUGCAGAGAACAAAACUGAGGGCGCAGGGAGGCAGAGAGCCUCAGCUCUGCACCACGGGCAGCAGCUCCCCCAGCGCCAUGCCCUGCAGCCCCCGAUCACCCCCUCCUCACCAGGCUGUGUGUCCCGGCCCCCAUCACCCCCACCCCUGCUCGGGGCUGUGCUGAGGAAGAAGAGCUGAGGGAGAGCUGCCAGAGCCCCACAUGUGGAGUGUCACAGGAGGAGGUGCAGAGCUGGCAUGGAGAGAAGGAGCUGUUUGUUUCCACUGCAUACAGGAGAGCUCUUGUGCAUCCUCAUUGUUCCCUGUACAUCACAGCCCCAUCCGACGGCCCCACUCCUCCUCCUCUCUGGACCCAGGGCUGCUGGGGCACAGCUGGGAGCAGCUUUGCGGAUGGGCCCUGAGUGCGGCUGUGCUCUGAGGGGAACGGGAGCAGUUGUGCCCUUUGGGCAAAGGCUGAGGGUGUCCGGGCUGCGCUGGGAUGGCACUGCCAGCAGUGGAACGAGUGGGAUCUGCCCUCUGCUCAGCAAUGGUGCGGCUGCACAGACAGCACUGGGUGCAGCUCUGGGCCCCCCACACAGGAGAGCCCGGGACACACUGGGGAGAGUGCAGCACAGGGCCACCGAGCUGCUGCAGCGCCUGGGGCGGCUCUGCUGGAGGGACUGAGGUCACGGAACCUCCUCUUCUCUGCUCCUGGACUGGGGAAGUGUGGAUGGACAGCUGACCCAGGGAGGUGAUGUUUAUCUCCCCCUGGGUCACUGCAAGCAAAACAGCUGCUAUGGAUCACUGUCUCACACAGAACAACGACGGGAGUAGGCAAAAGGAAUGCGGAGCUGUGAUGGAGACCGCUGUGCCGGGUGCCGUGAGACAAGCUGCAAGCAACUGCCAGUCAUGAGAAGCGUGCCUUGUGUACUUAGCAUGUUAUUUGUACCGCUCUAUAUAAGCGGCUGGGUGCAGUUAUUACACGGCUUGGCUGCUAGAAACCACAACGGUGUGUGGCCUCGUCCACGCCGCGCCUUGGCUGAAUAUUGCUCUCCAGAGGACUCUGAACAGUCACUCGGUGACAAGUGGUGCCCAAACGGGGACUUUGGAGUAAGAACCAUCAGAAAAGGACCUUGGAGUAAGAGGGAGACGAGGCAGCGGUCGCAGAUGGAUGGCACCGGACAAGCAACAGUGCUGUAAGUGUCACGGUAGCUGGAAGCGGGGUCCCUCCCUGCCCUCUGCCCCCACGAUAGAGUGGGAAGCUACAGAGAAACCGCUCCUAACUAUCCUCUCUAAGAAAGGGGAGCAAGUGUCUCCUAAAGGCCCGUCGGAGCUGGUAAAAUGGGCUCGAUGACUUGAAUACCUCAUGGAGGUGGCACUGAUGUUCGGUGCUUCAGAAUGGCGUGAUAUAGGAGAUCAUACGUGGGACUGUGUGAUAUCUGGGGGGAAGGACGAGGAGUUGCUGAAGCCUCUGGGACCGGUGUGGCGUGCUGCUGCCAACACCUUGAAGGCCAUACGAGCCCCCGCUGUACGGCCACCCGCAGCCUCCCCUGGCCCGAGCCCGGACCGCGCCACAGCCGCCUCCACCCGGUGCUCUCCAUGGCAGUGCAGGGCUUCCAGGGCUACACUGAGAAGCACUGCCCUACACCGUGAUGCCCAUCGAGCUGCAGAAGCUGGCGUGGGGCAGCCUGUUGGGGGGGGGGGGGGGGCCUCAGCAGACCCCGCUGUGCCUCAUCGAUGCCAACAGCUCUCUGCCCCGGCUCUACAGCGGCUUCUACACAGUCUGGGAUGCUCCACUGAACUGAUUGCUGGAUGAAAUGUCUCGCUGCCUUGGGAUCCCCAGGAACCGUAACUUAUGGGGUCGCAGGCGAUAGGGAACACGUCACAGAAUUGGACCCAGACCUGCUUUGUAUUCAGUAAUACCCAGCAGGGCCUAAAUCCUUAUAAAGGGCUGAAUUGGACCUCUUGCA